rnacentral:tRNA from 1 species
GGUCCCGUAGCUCAGCGCAGAGAGCAGGAGUUUUCUAAACUCAAGGUCGCAGGUUGGAAUCCUGCCGGGAUCACCA